UACGUAGGGAGCAAGCGUUGUUCGGAUUUACUGGGCGUAAAGGGCGCGUAGGCGGCGCGGUAAGUCACUUGUGAAAUCUCUGAGCUUAACUCAGAACGGUCAAGUGAUACUGCAGUGCUAGAGUGCAGAAGGGGCAAUCGGAAUUCUUGGUGUAGCGGUGAAAUGCGUAGAUAUCAAGAGGAACACCUGAGGUGAAGACGGGUUGCUAGGCUGACACUGACGCUGAGGCGCGAAAGCCAGGGGAGCAAACGGG
rnacentral:rRNA from 1 species